AGUUUUAGAAUUGAAAAAUUCUUUGAAUGCCACACAUGUGCAAGUACUAAAAUAAAAAUCUACAGGUAUAGAAUUGAGUGAAUAGAAAAGAGAUGUAAAAAUUUCAUAUUCUACUCCCUGAAUCUUUUGUAUGGUUAUUUUCGUCGCAUUGUUAUCCAUGAACAAAAAGAUAUUUAACAUAUUAAGAUCUUUAGUACAAAACUGAAACAGCUAUCAUCUAUAUUAUCGUGCCUUUCAUAUUUUCCUCAAACUUAAAAGAUUUGUUAGCAGAAGGAAACCACAACCUGAUAUGGUGCGAACAACGCAAACUCUCGACGAGGAAUGCGACGAAACUGAACACAACUGAAAAUGGUUUUCCAAGCAGUGAGGCGGCCGUCCGUUCCACACCCGCUUGUUGGUUCGCCGUUGGAGCAGCCACGACUUUGCUAAAUAAAAUCAUUUUCGCGGCCGGCGAUACUCUAGGGAAUAAUUACGAGUGGUGGCGGAUUACGCGCGUGCACCAGCCUGGCUGCCUGCUGGUACACGGUAUCGAUGAAAUACCGAUAAUCGAUUGCCCUAUACAAGGCAUAUAUCCGGUAGGUCGAUGGCUGAACACGCGCCUACUGUUCUAUACCCGGCAAUUUGUACCGGUGCUGGCGGCGGUGCACGCGGUUGCAUUAUAAUACCGCCGCGGCCCGCUUAUUAUUUACGAGCGAUGGCUGGCUGGCUCUAAGGGGUGGCAAUAUAUCGACACCCCACGGAGUUUCCUCCUUUGGCUACUGGUUACCAUUCAUAAUGGAGUAUAAUAGUCCCCUUUCCGUCGUUCCGUGGCCGAGCCACAGGGCCUACAAUCCGGGAGUUUAAUCCGCAGUCAAAGUGCAACAACCCCCCAUCGCCGUGUAUUAGCCAGCUUCUGUAUAUAUAUAUAUAUAUAUAUAUAUAUCUAGUUCUAGCUCUAUUUCGCUUUUACUUAUGUUCUGUAUUUAACCGUAGAGGCUGUCGUGGGUGAAAUUUCAUCCUCUCGCGAAUUUCUGUUGUGCUGUAAUAAUACCAUUGUAGUGUUAAUUAUAAUGUAGUAAAAUAAUAACUUUUACGCUUAUUGUCUAAUAUUUAAAAAUGGUAAAAAGUUAAGGAGAUAUUGUUAUAAACCACUGCAAAGCAAUAAUUUGUCUACUUUCAAUCCAGCAUCUUUAAUAUUUAGCAGUGAUAAAAGAUAUAGCGAAUACUGUUGAUCUCUAAAAUAAAAAUAGAAUAUACUGGGGUGGAAUUUUAUAACAUGAUAUUCUUUGAUUAUUAGUUCUAGGGGUUACAUUUGUUUGCAUUUAUAUUUGUAUUGUAAUCCUAUCAAGAGGGAAAAUUUCUUUUAUGAAUUGUUAAAUGUAAAAACUUAUUCUUUCUGAUGCUUUUGCGAGGAAGACAUAAUACACUAAAAUUUAUCAUUCAUUUAGUUUCCAAUAGGGUUUGCAAUUUUAAAUCUUGUCAUGGGAAUCGAAGAAAAACUAGGCUUGCAUGAAGAUUUGGAAAAAGAUUCUUUUGAAAGGGGAAGUUUUGGUGGUAAUCGUCUCGCAGUGACAGGGAAGAUAUAGUGAAGACUGAAUAUAGAAAAUGAUUCAAUACUGGUGGUGAAGGGAUGUAGUUUUUAUUUGAAGUAGAAUAGUAAUUAGAAUAGAAUAGAAUAGUAAUAUAAUACGUAGAAAUAUAUCAGGUCCUUUAAAGGUACAACUCAUAUGAAAAUAUCACACACAUUAAGAACAGUAUUGUUUAAUAGUACCACGUUUUCUCUAAACAAUCGCCAAAACACUACAUUCUUCACGUUCCGUUUCCAGAUUUCAACAAACUACAAAAUCACUACUAUCCACAUACACCAAUACAAGCGCUAGGAUAUCCAACCAUAGAUACCAACACUGUAAAUCGAACCUCAGCGUAACAACACAAUUAAACAAACAACCAAAAAAAAAAAAAAAAAAAAAAAAAAAAAAAAAAGCGAAGGAAAGGGAAGAAAAAAAGAGAUUGAAAGUAAAAAUAGAAUAUAAAAAACAUGCCGUUGAAAAAUCGAGAAACGAAUAAUCGUUUCCAUUUUCCCGCUGCGUUUUUCUAAACGGUGAAGAAAGGUGACGCUCGUGAAAUUUCGUUCGAUAAAAAUUUCAAUACAAAACAUAGAAAGUGUGUGUGCGUAGGAGAGAGAGAUAGAGAGAGAGGCCAAAAAAUCGGGGGUGGAGCAGAGAACGGGAUCGCGCUCAAAAUCGAAAAUCAAUGGAAACAUCGAUAUUUGUCGAAUACUUAAAAAGCACGAUCCCGCGGAAAAGCGGCGAAACACAAGCGGACGGCCCCGCUGGGAUGGCUUUUAAAAUUUUUUCGACUUCCAUCAAUAUUUGCUCUGACUUCACUGCCCCUCUCUUCCUACACCCACUGCUGUGUUCACCUCUCCGGCUGGGAACGCCGAGCUUCACCCUCUACCUGUAUCGACCGUGUACACGUGUGUGCAGCCACGUAUAUUUGCUCGUGGCUGGCUCAAGUGCGCGUUUUGGAAGCCAAUCUUGAAUUGGAUCCUUCGAAUCCUCGUCACGGAUCAGGGAAGAGUGUAUAGUGUUGCCGAACGUCGGGUAAAUAGACGCUG